rnacentral:snRNA from 1 species
AUCGCUUCUUAGCCUUUUGACUAAGAUCAAGUGUAGUAUCUGUUCUUAUCAGAAAAGUUGAAUUUUUUGGACAUAAUCCAAAUUAUAAGUAAAUUAUU